GACGAACGCUGGCGGCGUGCUUCAUACAUGCAAGUCGAACGAGAAUCUCUAGCUUGCUAGAGAGGAAAGUGGCGGACGGGUGAGUAAUAUGUAGGAAAUCUGCCCUAGAGUGGGGGACAACAGUUGGAAACGACUGCUAAUACCCCAUAUGAGCGUACCUGUGAUGGUAUUCUUGAAAACUCCGGUGCUCUGGGAUGAGCCUGCAUCUGAUUAGCUAGUUGGGGGUGUAAUGGACCACCAAGGCGACGAUCAGUAGCUGGUUUGAGAGGAUGAUCAGCCACAAUGGGACUGAGACACGGCCCAU
rnacentral:rRNA from 1 species